GAGCUGUCAGUAUGCUGUGAGGAAACGAACAGUGUGUAUUGUUCACAGAGGUUCGGCUUUACUGAAGAAUAUAUCCAGAAAAUAUUAGAGGAGUCAGGGAAGCCCAGAACUGGAUGCAGUACUCCAGAUGUGGCCUCACCAGGGCAGAAGAAUCACCUCCCUUGAACUGCUGGCCACACCCUUCUUGAUGCACCUAAGGAUACCCAUUGGUUUUCAUGUCCAGAGGGGCACACUGCUGGCUCAGUGGCCUGUUAUCCACCAUCUUAUUCACCAUUAUCUUGCUUUAUUAGUGCUUUAUUACAUAGGUAUCUACUGUA
rnacentral:lncRNA from 1 species